rnacentral:rRNA from 12 species
UCCAUGAAGUUGGAAUCGCUAGUAAUCGCGUAACAGCAUGACGCGGUGAAUACGUUCCCGGGCCUUGUACACACCGCCCGUCACACCAUGGAAGCUGGCUAUGCCCGAAGUUGUUAUUUUAACCAAUUGGAGGAAGGCACCUAAGGCAGAGCUAGUGACUAGGGUGAAGUCGUAACAAGGUAGCCGUACGGGAACGUGCGGCUGGAUCACCUCCUU